CGCCUAGGGCUCAGGCUAUGGAAGAGAAAACCCCUGGGGGGCCUCCCUGGGAAACUCCCUCCUCUACAUCAACAUCUGCAGAGGCCCAGCAGGCCAAGAGCACACAGCGCUUUCUAGAACCUGCUGGGAUAAUGGCCAGGCCCAGCAGCCCAGCCCAGUCCAGCCCUGCCUCAGGAAUGGUCACCACUAGCACACAGACUCUGAAUCCCACCAAGGCACCAGCCCCCAAAGACCUGCAAACAGGUGAGGCCCCUGCAGAGUGGCCACCCACCCCUGGGAAACAACCAGCCCCGGUGCCAGCUCCCCUCCAAGCAUCAAGGUGUCCUCACCCGCUCCUCAAAGAGGGGACCAUGACAGCUGCUCCUGUCACCCUGGCUAUGCAGAAGCUCAACCCCUGCCUGAUGGAGCUGUGUCGCUUCCUCCAGCGAUGCCUCUGUGGGAGCCAGAGAAAGAAUCCUACGACAGAGAUGAUGAGGUAACCUGGGCUACAUGCUCCUUUUCACAUCUGGUACUUACAGGCUUCUUAUGCUGUGCAUCUUCUCUG
rnacentral:lncRNA from 1 species